AAUAAAAAAUAAUACAUAUAAAAAUACUAAAUUAUAUAAUAUUUUUUAUUUUUUUAAAUACAUAUCUCAUAUAUAAAUAUAGUUUCUAAAAAUUUUGGGGGGGCCGAGGCCACUACUCGCCCCCCUCUAGGUCCGUCCCUGACUCCAGAGGAUAUACCUCAACAGAAAACUAAGAGUAAUGACACAAACUUAAGUCAAGUUAGUCCUACGUAUGAUUUGAUAUUAUUUUUUCCCUUUGUUUUGUUUUUCAGUACUCUGAAGAGAUUGGAAAACCAAUACCAAAGGUUGAAGUGAUGAAAUAUCUAAAGAGUAAGCACUACACGGAUGCUAAGGACUAUUCACGGGAAUGUGAAUCUGUUGUGAUGAUUGCCAAAGGACAAAGUGUGCAAGGGACAUGUAAGUAUGGAACAAGGAUAGAUUACAUAUUAUCAUCAUCAGAUUCAACAUAUAAGUUCGUAGCAGGGUCCUAUCUUGUGCUUUCUUGCUAAGGGACUUCAGAUCAUCACAUAGUCAAAGUUGAUGUGGUUAAAGAAAAUAAUAGCAUUCUAAACAGUAGUCCUCGUCAAGAAGAAAAUAAUAAUGUAACAAAGAAGCAGCAGAGAAUGAAAACACAGCCAAGUCCAUCAACUUGUAUAUGGAACAAAAACACAUACGGGAGAGAUAUAGAUUGAGUUUCUUAUUUUUCUUUUUCUUCUCUUUAAUUUGCUUACAUUAAUCAUUGCUGAAUUUAACUAUAGUUUCGAAGAUGGGGCAGUUCAGUUAGUUUUAAUUUGUUCAUGCUUCCUAAUCCUCUAAUCAUAUGUGUUCUGUAUAAAUCUGUGUUUCCUAAAAGACAAAAGAUUUACAAGAUUAUUGAGAGGCAAAAUGUCAUGUCUUACACAUUUUUCUUUUGUUA